rnacentral:rRNA from 1 species
GACGAACCGUCCUAACGUUGUUCGGAAUCACUGGGCUUAAAGGGCGCGUAGGCGGCCUUGAAAGUCGGGGGUGAAAUCCCACGGCCUAACCGUGGAAGUGCCUCCGAUACUGCAAGGCUCGAGGGAGGUAGGGGCAGCUGGAACUUCCGGUGGAGCGGUGAAAUGCGUUGAUAUCGGAAGGAACGCCGGUGGCGAAAGCGAGCUGCUGGACCUCUGCUGACGCUGAGGCGCGAAAGCCAGGGGAGCAAACAGGG